UACAGAGGGUGCAAGCGUUGUUCGGAAUUACUGGGCGUAAAGGGCGCGUAGGCGGCUCAUGAAGGCUGUGGUGAAAGUCCGGGGCUCAACCUCGGAUCGGCCGUGGCGACUCGUGGGCUGGAGCACUGUAGAGGCGGGUGGAAUUCCGGGUGUAGCGGUGGAAUGCGUAGAGAUCCGGAAGAACACCAGUGGCGAAGGCGGCGACCUGGACAGUAACUGACACUCAACUACGAAAGCGUGGGGAGCAAACAGG
rnacentral:rRNA from 1 species